AAGUAUUGAAGUAAAAAAUUUACAUUUAGUUUCGACCUAAUUAAAGAAAUUUAGUUUUCCUUGCUUA
rnacentral:tRNA from 1 species